ACGCUCGACAGUGCCAGCAGCCGCGGUAAUACGGAGGAUCCGAGCGUUAUCCGGAUUUAUUGGGUUUAAAGGGAGCGUAGAUGGAUGUUUAAGUCAGUUGUGAAAGUUUGCGGCUCAACCGUAAAAUUGCAGUUGAUACUGGAUAUCUUGAGUGCAGUUGAGGCAGGCGGAAUUCGUGGUGUAGCGGUGAAAUGCUUAGAUAUCACGAAGAACUCCGAUUGCGAAGGCAGCCUGCUAAGCUGCAACUGACAUUGAGGCUCGAAAGUGUGGGUAUCAAACAGGAUUAGAUACCCUGGUA
rnacentral:rRNA from 1 species